UUUCGAAUUUUUCGCAAUGGGCGAAAGUCUGACGGAGCAACGCCGCGUGAGUGAAGAAGGCCUUCGGGUUGUAAAGCUCUGUUAUUAGGGACGAACGUUUUAUGUGUGAAUAAUGCAUAGAAGUGACGGUACCUAAGGAGGAAGCCACGGCUAACUACGUGCCAGCAGCCGCGGUAAUACGUAGGUGGCAAGCGUUGUCCGGAAUUAUUGGGCGUAAAGCGCGCGCAGGUGGGAUAAUAAGUCUUAUGUAAAAGUGCGGGGCUCAACCCCGUAGCGCGUGGAAAACUGUUAUUCUGGAGUGCCGGAGAGGAAAGCGGAAUUCCCAGUGUAGCGGUGAAAUGCGUAGAUAUUGGGAGGAACACCAGUGGCGAAGGCGGCUUUCUGGACGGUGUCUGACACUGAGGCGCGAAAGCCAGGGGAGCGAACG
rnacentral:rRNA from 1 species